AUUGAACGCUGGCGGCAGGCCUAACACAUGCAAGUCGAACGAGUGGCGGACGGGUGAGUAAUGUCUGGGAAACCGCCUGAUGGAGGGGGAUACCUACUGGAAAUGGUAGCUAAUACCUCAUACUAUCAGACGUGCCCAGAUGGGAUUAUCGAGUUGGUGGGGUAACGGCUCACCAAGGCGACGAACCCUAGCUGGUCUGAGAGGAUGACCAGCCACACUGGAACUGAGACACGGUCCAGGCUCCUACGGGAGGCAGCAGUGGGGAAUAUUGCACAAUGGGCGCGAGCCUGAUGCAACCAUGCCGCGUGUAUGAAGAAGGCCUUCGGGUUGUAAAGUACUUUCAGCGGGGGGGCGUUACCCGCAGAAGAAGCACCGGCUAACUCCGUGCCAGCCGCCGCGGUAAUAC
rnacentral:rRNA from 1 species